AUGGAGAAGAUCUCCGUCGCCGUCCGCUUCCGCCCGCCCAAGCCUUCGGUCGACGCCGACGCCGACUCGUCAUCCUUCUCGGGCGGCGGCGCUGUCGGGAACCGCGAGUGGCGCAUCGACGACUCCGGAAUCUCCCUCCUCCACCGCGCCGUCCCCGUCCCCGGCACCUCCUUCGUCUUCGACCACGUGUUCAACGAGUCUGUGACCAACGCGCGGAUCUACGGCCUGCUCGUCCGCUCCCUCAUCCGUGCUGCCGUAGAUGGCUUCAACGGCACUGCCUUCGCCUAA
rnacentral:rRNA from 1 species